rnacentral:tRNA from 1 species
CAAGAAUUAGUUUAAUUAGAAUAUCAGCUUUGG